GAGUUUGAUCCUGGCUCAGAACGAACGCUGGCGGCGUGGAUAAGACAUGCAAGUCGAACGGGAGAAUUGCUAGCUUGCUAAUAAUUCUCUAGUGGCGCACGGGUGAGUAACACGUGAGUAACCUGCCUCUUAGUGGGGGAUAGCCCUGGGAAACCGGGAUUAAUACCGCAUACGAUUGAAAGAUCAAAGCAGCAAUGCGCUAGGAGAUGGGCUCGCGGCCUAUUAGUUAGUUGGUGAGGUAACGGCUCACCAAGGCGAUGACGGGUAGCCGGUCUGAGAGGAUGUCCGGCCACACUGGAACUGAGACACGGUCCAGACACCUACGGGUGGCAGCAGUCGAGAAUCAUUCACAAUGGGGGCAACCCUGAUGGUGCGACGCCGCGUGGGGGAAUGAAGGUCUUCGGAUUGUAAACCCCUGUCAUGUGGGAGCAAAUUAAAAAGAUAGUACCACAAGAGGAAGAGACGGCUAACUCUGUGCCAGCCGCCGCGGUAAUAC
rnacentral:rRNA from 1 species